GCGGAUAUGGUGUAAUGGCAGCACAGCAGCUUCCCAAGCUGCGGGCGCGGGUUCGAUCCCCGUUAUCCGCUCCA
rnacentral:tRNA from 1 species